rnacentral:rRNA from 1 species
AUUGAACGCUGGCGGCAGGCCUAACACAUGCAAGUCGAACGAGUGGCGGACGGGUGAGUAAUGUCUGGGAAACUGCCUGAUGGAGGGGGAUAACUACUGGAAACGGUAGCUAAUACCGCCUACCAUCGAAUGUGCCCAGAUGGGCUUAGCUAGUAGGUGGGGUAAAGGCUCACCUCGGCGACGAUCCCUAGCUGGUCUGAGAGGAUGACCAGCCACACUGGAACUGAGACACGGUCCAGACUCCUACGGGAGGAAGCAGGGGGGAAUAUUGCACAAUGGGCGCAAGCCUGAGGCAGCCAUGCCUCGUGUAUGAAGAAGGCCUUCGGGUUGUAAAGUACUUUCAGCGGGGAGGCGUUACCCGCAGAAGAAGCACCGGCUAACGCCGUGCCAGCAGCCGCGGUAAUUC